rnacentral:sRNA from 1 species
CGGCCUGGGCUGCCGGGGCCGACGCCUGGGUGGCUGCUGCCGCCGCGCCUGCUGCGAGAUGGCGAUCUUGGGCGCGGAAGGGUGAGGGCGCCCGCCGCAGGAGGAGGUGCCGCUGCCGUGGCCGCCCGGCUGCCGGGAGCCGACAGCUUCGCGCCGGGGUUGUCUCCUCACAGACUAUGAGCUCCUUGAAAGAGGGAAUCGUGUCUUACUCAUCUUUGUAUCCCCAGUGUCUAGCAGUUCCUGAUACAUAGUUUUAGCUGAAUUUUGGGACAUGGCCACUGCUUCACCAAGGUCUGAUACUAGUAAUAACCACAGUGGAAGGUUGCAGUUACAGGUAACUGUUUCUAGUGCCAAACUUAAAAGAAAAAAGAACUGGUUCGGAACAGCAAUAUAUACAGAAGUAGUUGUAGAUGGAGAAAUUACGAAAACAGCAAAAUCCAGUAGUUCUUCUAAUCCAAAAUGGGAUGAACAGCUAACUGUAAAUGUUACGCCACAGACUACAUUGGAAUUUCAAGUUUGGAGCCAUCGCACUUUAAAAGCAGAUGCUUUAUUAGGAAAAGCAACGAUAGAUUUGAAACAAGCUCUGUUGAUACACAAUAGAAAAUUUCUAGGAUCUGGAAGUCCAAGAUCAAGAUGCCAGCAGGUUCGAGUUUGGAGAGGAUCCAGUUCCUGUUUCCAAGAUGGCACCUUGUUGCUGCAUCCUCUGAAGGGGAUGAACACUGUCCUCACAUGGCAAAAGGGACAGAAAAGGGCACACCCACUCACUCAAGUUCUUUUAUAAAGGCCCUAAUUCCAU